UCGAGUGUUUUAAACCCUUCUUUUGUAAAGGAGGGUUACCUCCCGUCCUUUGCUGAGGGCUCCCCUACGUUUUAGGAGGGGCUUUUUCAGAAAACCUACUGCUUCGGCGUGGUUUAUGCCCGCCGGAACACCCUCAAAAAUUCUGGUCUCCAAAACUUGUUCAGUCCGAGAAAAAUUUUUUAAAGCGAAA
rnacentral:misc_RNA from 1 species